GCGGGCUGGAGCGGGCGGCGCGCCUGUGGAACGCUCGGGGCGGCCCAGGGCUGAGCAUGGAGCAACGCGGUGGAGGUUGCCCCAGAGGCCCCUGGCCAGGCCUGAGCCGCUGCCACCAUGGCCAUUGUUCACACUCUGCCAGUCCCACUGGAGCCCACUCCUGAGGCUGCCACUGUCCCGCAAGCUCCAACCAUGGGCAGCGUGAGCAGUCUCAUCUCGGGCCGGCCCUGCCCGGGGGGACCAGCUCCUUCUCGCCACCACACCGCUCCUGGGCCCACAUUCUUCCGCCAGCAGGAUGGACUGCUACGGGGUGGCUAUGAGGUGCAGGAGCCACUCUGCCCAGCCGUGCCUCCCAGAAAGACUGUCCCUGCCACAAGCUUCACUUACAUCAAUGAAGACUUUCGGACAGAGUCACCUCCUAGCCCCAGCAGUGACAUUGAAGACACCCGAGAGCAGCGGGCACACAAUGCCCACCUCCGGGGACCCCCACCCAAGCUCAUCCCUGUCUCUGGAAAGCUGGAGAAGGUAAGGCCUGGCCCCUUUUGGGGGGACCUAGGUGGAACCAGUUGUUCCCUGGGAAACUGGAAUUUGUAAGUUUAUAUACAGGAAAGAUUAUGGACUCUAG